UUCCCUGGUCAACAUAGAUAGAAUUGAGAAUGUGAAAAGGAGGAGACUUAAUAACACAGGUAUGCUCCCAUCACCAUCUAUAUGCUUAAAAAUAUAAUCAUGUUAUCCUCGGAAAUCAUGAACUUAGGUAAGAUACAAGUCUUUAAAUAAUGCAUGGUGAAAUGUAAAGAUAACUGAAAUGUAAGAACAUCCGCUUCACUGCCAAGAUAUAUAUCAUGAAGACACCUGUCCCCCCCGCUUAAUUGACUACCCGCUAAAAGAAAAACCUGCUAAAAGAACAGAUUUAGUGUGCAGUGAGGCAAUGAAUUUAAGAGAUCUCUGCUGAAUAAAAAACUAGUUCUAUUGGUUAUGCUGGGUCAUGUUCUUGAACAAGUUCAGACAUAUUAACUGAGCUUUUAUGUGCUUUUAUGCAAUAUUUAUUUUUGAAAAAUCAGAAAUUUCCACGGCAACGAUUACUUAUGCACCAAAAUUACUGAUGUUGGUAUCCACAAAAUCCAUGCUCAGCAAAUUAUAGCAAGAGUUAUUGUAAACACUUUGUAUGUUCAUGCAAAAAGUUGAGGGAAAUCAACCCAACGACACUAAAUGUAAAGAACAUGGCCCGAGUUUUCAGGAAAACAGAAAUACAAGGCUAAAAUUUUCAGAGCAUAUUAGAGUCGUAGCCAACUCAUUCUCUAUUGCAUUGAAAAGUAUCACACUGGUGAAUCUCUUAAGCAGCAGUUAGAAAAGGUAGGCGUCAGACAUCAUUUUCUGAGUAACAAACCGCUACCUUCUAGUGUUAUGCUUGUUCUGUAACAGUUCUUUUUUCUGUUUUCUUCUAUUUUGUUUCUCCUCCUGAAGGAAAUUGUUUUUCUUUGAGCUGAAAGUGGUCCCCUAAGCACUUUGCUGUCUCAGAUGUGAGUUUUACAGAUCAAAAGGAACUCUGAGAAAGCCGUGAUCUUCAUUCUUACGCAGAAGCUGUCAUUAGACAAAGGCUUGGAAGCUUCAGAUACAGGGUAAUUUCAACCACAUUUCCAGCUCUUCUGUGGGUGAUGGAGAGAAGAUUCAGACUGGAUUGACUCUUGUCCAGUACUGAAUGUUCCUCUAACCCCGAUUACUGUGAGGUGCUACAAGAUUCCUGCAGAGAUAACAGACGGAUGUGGCUCAAAUCAUCCAUGUAAAUAAAAAUCUCCCAGGAGAUUUUACCUCUGUGGUAUUUUUUGUUGUUGUUGUUUUAUUUUUCUCCUUUUUUUUUUUUUUUUGGGUAAGGUAUUUAGCUGAAGUAUCAGGACUGUAAUUGAGUCAGUAUCCUCCUUUUACUUUCUUCCAUGUCCCACAAAAUAAUUUUUAUAAGCAAAAAUCUAUCACAUUUGACAAUAAUGGGAAAUGUACCUGCUAUCAGAUUUUUUCCCCUGCCUAUACUUGAUUUUUCCUUUCCAUUUGCUUUAUUUACAAUGUAAGUAAAUACAUAUUUGGUAUAUAUUUAGGGACACCAAUUCUUUGAGAUAUGAUAAAAAAAAUAAUACUUUCUGAUCAUAGAAUCAUAGAAUGGUUUGGGUUGGAAAGGAUCUUAAAGAUCAUCUAGUUCUAACCCCUCUGCAAUGGGUAGGAACACCUUCCACUAGACCAGGCUGCUCAAAGCCCCAUCCAGCCUGGCCUUAAGCACUUCCAGAGAUGGGGCAUCCACAACUUCUCUGUGCAACCUAUUUUAGUGCCUUCCCACCAUCAUAGUGAAGAAUUUCUUCCUUGUAUCUAAUCUCAAUCUAUCCUCUCUCAGUUUAAAGCCAUUACCCAUUGCCCUAUCAUACAUGCCCUUGUAAAAAGUCCUUCUCCAGCUUUCCUGUAGGCUCCCUUUAGGUACUGGAAGGCUGUUAUGAGGUCUCCCCAGAGCAUUCUAUUCUCCAGCUGAACAACUCCAACUGUCUCAGCCUGUCUUCAUAGGAGAGGUGCUCCAGCCCUCUGAUCAUCUUCGGGGCCCUUCUUUGGACUCAGUCCCACAGAUCCCUGUUCUUCUUACAUUGGGGGCUCCAGACUUGGACACAGUACUCCUGGUGGGGUCUCACAAGAGCAGAAUAGAAGGGGAGAAUCAUCUCUGUUGACCUGCUGGUCAGUCUUCUUUUGAUGCAGUCCAAGAUACAGUUGGCUUUCUGGGCUGCAAGUGCACAUUGCUGGCUCUUGUUGAGCUUUUCACCAACCAACACCCCCAAGCCCUUCUCUUCGGGGCUGUUCUCAAUCCAUUCUUCACCCAGUCUGUAUUAGUUCUUGGGAUUGCCUGGAUCAUGUACAGGACCUUGCACUCAGCCUUGUUGAAUUUCCUGAGGUUUGUAUGAGACUAUCUUUCCAUCUUGUCAAAGCCUCUCUGAAUGGCAUCUCUUCCCUCCAGCAUGUCGACUGCACCACACAGCUUGGUGUCAUUGGCAAAUUUCCUAAGGUUGCACUCCUUCCCACUGUCCAUGUCACCAACAAAGAUGUUAAACAGUGCCAGUCCCAAUACCAGGCCCUGAGGAACACCACUCAUCACUGGUCUCCACUUGAACAUUGAACCACAACACUUUGAAUGCGACUAUUCAGGCCAUUCCUUAUCCAACAAGUGGUCCAUCCAUCAAAUCCAUGUCUCUCCAAUUUAGAGAACAGGAUGUCACAUGGGACAGUUCUUUGCACAAGUCCAUGUAGAUGGUGUCAGUUGACCUUCCCUUACCCACCAGCACUGUAACCCCAUUGUAGAAGGCCACCAAGUUUUUUAGGUACGAUUUGCCCUUAGUGAAGCCGUGCUGGCUGUCACCAAUCACCUCCUUAUUUCCACGUGCCUUAGCAUAAUUUCUAGGAGGAUCUACUUCGUGACCUUUCUGGGCACAGAGGUGAGACUGACUGAUCUGUAGGUCUCCAGAUCUUUCUGGGGGAAGAAUCUGGAGGUUCAGGUCAACAGCAAGUUGAACAUAAUCCAACAGUGAGCCCUGUCAGCCAAGAGGGCCAACUGUGUCCUGGAGUGCAUCAAGCACAGCAUUGCCAUCCGGGUGAGGGAGCUGAUUGAUCCACUUUGCUCUGCACUGGUGUGGCCUCAACUGGAGCACUGUGUACAGUUCUGGGCACCACAGUGUAAAAAGGACAUUAAGCUACUGAAGAGUGUCCAGAAGAUGGCUACAAAAUUGGUGGAAGGUUUAGAGGGGAAGCUUUAUGAGAUGGAUCUGAAGUCACUUGGUUUGUUCAGCCUGGAGAAGAGGAGACUGAGGGAAGACCUCAUCGCAGUCUGCAGCUUCCUCACAAGGGGAGGAGGAGGGUCAGGUGCUGA